UACGUAGGUGACAAGCGUUGUCCGGAUUUACUGGGCGUAAAGAGCGCGCAGGCGGUCGUUCAAGUCGAGUGUGAAAGCCCCCGGCUCAACUGGGGAGGGUCAUUCGAUACUGAUCGACUCGAAGGCAGGAGAGGGAAGUGGAAUUCCCGGUGUAGUGGUGAAAUGCGUAGAUAUCGGGAGGAACACCAGUGGCGAAGGCGGACUUCCUGGCCUGUUCUUGACGCUGAGGCGGCGAAAGCUAGGGGAGCAAACGGG
rnacentral:rRNA from 1 species